CCCAAACAGUGAUGUUAGCUGCUCGUGCUAGUUGCUGCAUCUACGGAAAAACGAUCAAAGCCAUGCAAGUGUUCAGCAUUUUCUCAUCCACCGCUGGAGCUAACAAUAACAUCCACCUCGACCCCCAACUGAACUACAACCCAGGAUGCGUUCAAGAACAUCGCUAUGCAGGAAAACCGGACACUGCCCAAAAGGCUUGGCUGAAAGGUGAGGUCUAACUGUACAGUUUUGUAAUUGUUAAGUGUUGAGAACAAAUUCUGACCAUUUACUUAAGUACUAAAACGUACGGUAAAAACACUUUAUUACAAAUAAAAGUACCGCACUGAAAAUGUUACUUAAGUAAAAGUAGGAAAAUGUACUGAAAUUGCUCAACACAGUACAAUGUCCGCUGUGACUGUUGUAUUAUUAUACCAUUAGAUUGUUAUUACUCAUGCAUUAAUGUUUCAGAAGCAUUUUAUUUUUGUAGUUUUUUUCUGGUAUUUUUAUAAGAAAAAAUGAUUGCUUAUUGCUUCCUCUACUUGUAUAUCUUUUGGACACUAUAACAAGACAUCACAUUUCAUAAUGACUUCUUAUGUUUUAUAUACAAAAAUCUGAAUCUGUAAAGUAACCAUUAGUUAUCAGAUAAAUGCAGUGGAGUAAAAAUAACAAUUCCCUCUGAAAUGUAGUAGAGUACAGGUAUAGAGCAGCAUAAAAUGGAAAUGCUCAAGUUAAGAAACAAAACCAACCACCAAAAAACAUUAGAACUGUUUUACGGCAGUGGAGGAUUUACGGCACCCGGAAUAUGGCUGACGUUCCGAGUUUCGACCUGUAUGGAAGCCUAUAGGGGACUGUAUUCAAAUGAUAAUGUAAUUCCGUAAUAGUAAUUCCACAUAUAUUCCUCCUGUAUACUUAAUAAAAACUAAAUAAUAAUAAAAAAUUCACCAUAUUUAAGUGUUAUUUGGCCUUUUGCGUCUUUUAAAAGUAAUCUGUAUCUGUAACUCUAUAGUAGGAUACAGUCAUUGAUUUAGUGUAAAGUGGCAAUGGGGCUGAGGAUGGACAGGUAAGAAGAGGCUGUGAGGAUGUGAGUAAAUCACAUAUUCAGAUCUGGGGUUGUUCUUCACCACAAAUUGUAAAAUUCAAGCAAGAAAAAUAUAUUUUUUAUUUUCCAAAAUGUUUAAAAACAGUGUUUGAGAUACAAUAGUGAACAACAUCACAAUUCAGACAACAAUCCAAGUAAAUGAACACACUGAUACAUUUUUUUUUUUUUUUU